rnacentral:rRNA from 1 species
UGGGGAAUAUUGCACAAUGGGCGCAAGCCUGAUGCAGCCAUGCCGCGUGUAUGAAGAAGGCCUUCGGGUUGUAAAGUACUUUCAGUCGGGAGGAAGGUGGUAAGGUUAAUAACCUUGGCAAUUGACGUUACCGACAGAAGAAGCACCGGCUAACUCCGUGCCAGCAGCCGUGGUAAUACGGAGGGUGCAAGCGUUAAUCGGAAUUACUGGGCGUAAAGCGCACGCAGGCGGUUGAUUGAGUCAGAUGUGAAAUCCCCGGGCUUAACCCGGGAAUUGCAUCUGAUACUGGUCAGCUAGAGUCUUGUAGAGGGGGGUAGGAUUCCAUGUGUAGCGGUGAAAUGCGUAGAGAUGUGGGGGAAUACCGGUGGCGAAGGCGGCCCCCUGGACAAAGACUGACGCUCAGGUGCGAAAGCGUGGGGAGCAAACAGG